UUAAAAUAAAAAGGGUGGUCCUCAAGCAAUGCUCGCUCGCUCUUCUUCCUUGCGCUUCACGAUGUUGUUUAUCUCUCAGAUUCCCAAUAAGCGCCUCAAUCCUUACUCCAUUGACUCUCUGCCUCCCCAUCUCUCAGUCACAGCUGCGGAGUCGCUGAUGUUACCCGCCCUCCCUUCGUCACAGUGUCUGUUCUCCCUCGGUGGACAACUCGUACGUAGAAGACGAAAUCCUGCUUGGCCCCCCUCUCGCUCAAUCGCUCAAACAACCUCACUCCCUCAGUAGUUUUCAAUCAUAGUUCUGCAAGUUUUGAAGUGCUUGUGAUGAUGGCUUUGUCGUAUCAAGAAUGAUGAAGACUUUGUUCCUUCCUUACCAAGACCAUUGUCAAUUUGAAAAUGUUGGAAUUCUGUUCAAAUGGCUUCAAGUGUAGCUGAACUGUUUCUCUGCAAUCUAACAGUUUAUUUCCAUUACUCAAACUACUAGACUGUAUCAUUAUGUACACCAUUGCCUUUUGUGUGAAU